rnacentral:rRNA from 1 species
UACAGAGGUCUCGAGCGUUAGGCGGAAUCACUGGGCUUAAAGCGUGUGUAGGCGGAUCGGUAAGUACCUUGUGAAAUCCCACAGCUUAACUGUGGAACUGCUUGGUAUACUGCCAGUCUUGAGCCACUUAGGGGCUACCGGAACAAAUGUUGGAGCGGUGAAAUGCGUAGAUAUCAUUUGGAACGCCAAUGGUGAAAACAGGUAGCUGGGAGUGUGCUGACGCUGAGACACGAAAGCCAGGGGAGCAAACGGG